GUUGAUAUAUAUGCCCUUAUUGUUAUGCAAUCUACGCCCAACGGCCAAUUAAGUCCUGAUCAACAAGCUUUUGAUCUUCAGGAGUGGCCUCAGCACCGCGAUCAAGUGGGGCUAUGGCUUCGAGAAGCUCCUGCUUAAGGCUCUCAAUGUCUUCACUUUUGGUAAACAAAAACGGAAAUAAGGAAACCCUUGCCCUCAAUUUCAAAGAUUCCGGUACAUAAUUGACGGCCGUAAAAUGAUGGAAAAAUGAUCUCCUUCUUGAACAAGAAAGUAGUAGUUUCGGAUUUGCUGGGAAAGAAGAAUUAAUAAAGGGGGAGAUUGGGUGAAG
rnacentral:misc_RNA from 1 species